AGCAGGCAAGGCGGGACGUGUCGAUUACAAGGUCGCUGAGCUCUAGGGAGUCGACCCGUCAAGACGUCGUGGCCCUACAGUAAGAGGGCAUUGUGAUACUAUAAGUAGUUUAACAGUAAGUGAUCAUUUUAAAGAGUGGUUAUGUUAGGUACAUUAAAAAAGAGUAAAAUUGUGAGACUGGUUGGGUAGUGGUUAGGUUCAUUAAAAAAUACUUAACAGUGUGGACGGUUGUUUAUGUUAGGUUUCUUACAUUAGAUUUACUUUUAAAGUGUGUUAAGUGUUUGUUAGCUUCAUUAAAAAAAACAAUAAAAUAGUAAGGAUGUAACGUGUGUACCUGCGUACACAUGCAAAGGUUAGUGCCCCUGACUUGUCAAUGAAUACCACCCGCGCAACAGCGAGCGCGCGGCCGUUCAGACGCCGCGGCAGGAGGUCGGCCGUCGUCGGACGAGUUCGUGCGCCGUCGGCUGCGCGCGGAUCUGGAUGGAAACGGAAGUUGGGCUGGCUUCCUCCGAAUAGACGAGACUGUUCUUCCCGCUCGUCAGGGAAGUCAGCGCGUAUAAAGGGCAUGCGCCAAGUCAACUGAGGAGCAGAACAACUGGGACAUCAACGGGCAGGCUGCCACGCUGCUCCGACACCGCUCGCCGGCCUACACCGUCAAACUACCACGGAGUUGCUGCCGCCAGAGGACCAAGAAGAAUUCGACUGGUGGGAUCAUGUAUCAGCCGUUCGACAUCACAAGGACCCGGCUUAUUUACGACACAUGUCAGUUUGAGAUUCAAUGAAAUACGUGUUUGUGUUAUUGGGCUUGUUAAUAAAUUAUCCUUGGAAUGAA